rnacentral:lncRNA from 1 species
UGCUUGUACUCCCUCAGCCCCCUACCCGAUUCGGAGUGGUACUACUUUAAGGCGAGGCCUGAGAAGAACUUGCUCCGAGGAUCUCCGAGCAACGUGAAGGGGUGGAAGACGAGGUUCUUUUUUGCCUCGGGGGAUGAGUGGGAGUUCCCUUCGGGCACGGCCGCCAGCGAUACUACACGAGUUCCCAGAUCUUGGGGGACGCCAAGUUAGUUCCUAUUUUGUGUUUUGUUCGCAAGUUAUUAUUGUCGUCUGACAUGCGAUUUUCAGGGAAGAGCUGCAACAAGUUGCCAACUCUGUCCGAGGUGGACGCCAAGAGGACGGAGACGGUCCUCGGGAAGAUAGAGCCCGGAGGCUACUUCGAGGUGUCGAAGGUUCUGGGUUCGCGGACCUUCAAGAAACACUUUGCGGUUGGUUGCACGGCGCUCUCUGCCAGCAGCGGAGACAACACGACCUCGGGCGACGAGGGUGAGUUUAUUACUAGCGAAGAUUCGGUUGAAUACCUGGGAGUCAUUCGACGGGAUAUCGAAGGGGUGAUUAGGAGAGCCCAUCCUGUUAUCCCCGAUGAAACCCUCCUAAGGUGGCUCGGGGGGAAGGUAAAGAGCCCGUUUACGAAUCUUCUAUCUGGGACGUCCGGCUCCAGUUCGGAUUCAGGGUCGGUUUUCACUUCGGAUUCUGAACUGCCCCCGAGCUCAGAUCUGAUGGUAUAUUCUAGAAAUCAACUGUUUACUAUUUUCUUCCUUAUCUGACAUAUCCCAUGUGCAGCUAUGUCGGCUCGAGCUGGUGCCCCCGCUUUGGGUGAAAAAACCGGGGGUAAGGCCAAGGCCGAGAAGGCGACGAAGGCGACGACAGCCAAGCCUCCCACCAAAGGAGUCGUCAUUCGGAAGAAACGCACGCGGGAAGGCGUCCCCGUAAUCAAGAUAGGCGAGCCGGACUCUUCGAAGGGAAAAGAAGUCGCGCCCCCCCCGCCACCUAAAAGAUUCAAGUCCAACCGAGGGGCGAUCAAUGCCAGAGGGCGUGUUGCUGAGGCGGGGACCUCUUCCCCUGGUGGCGAUGUAGGAUCCGAGUCUAUGUCGGAUGCUUCUGUGGCUCGGAGGUUGCUCACAGGGGUGAUCCCGGCUUCCGACAAGAAAGAGGUCGAUCAAUUAUCCGAGAAUGAAUUGGUCUCCAAAUCUUUCCAUGCCUUGAGCUAGGUAACUCGUGAAAAUCUUGGUGUUGUUUUCUUCUGAUAAAUACUGAGAUGUUAUUUUGGCAGGUGGUCGUGUUUGUCUCUUCUCUUGCCCUCCGCAGCCAGGAGCAUCUCCACGAUAUAGACUUCCAUAUGGCUCGCGUGGAUUCCACCGAGCUAGAAUUGGUUAAAGCUCAAAAGCGAGCCCUUAAGGCGGAGAAUCGGUUGGCCGAGCUUAGCGAGGAAGGAUCAAAGCCCGGCCCCGAGGUGGACGAUCUGAAGGCCACCGUGGCGGAACUCACAAAUAAACUGGCGAAGGCCAAGAAGCUAGCCAUUGAGGACUUCAAAGCCUCGGGAGAAUUCAAGGCAGCGGUUACAGAUUCUGCUGCAACAUACUUCAGCGAGGGCUUUGAGUUCUGCAAGAGGCAGCUCCUCCAUCAAUUCCCCAACCUCAGCGUCGACGUGGCGAAUAUGGCGAUGGAUCCAAGUUUCGCCGAGGAAGAGAAGGCGAUGAAAGAAGGAGAAGAUCCUGUUGCAGGAAUUGCUCCUAAUGUAUAAAUUUUUUUUUUUUUUAAGAUGUAAUAUUUGUUCAUAUGAAUGAAAAAUACUCCAUUUGAAAAAUAUCUUUGUUCCGUGUCUUUUAUUUUGAGUGUUAAUGGCGACCAUAAGUAAUGGCGAAAUCUCAAUAACUGAAAUAGUAUUGGCGAUUUCGAUAACGAGCGAUCUUAUUUUAUUUUGGACUGGCGAUAUCAUUUUUCUUUAACUGGCGAUCUCAAUAUUGGCGGUCAUCGAUAUAGGUGAUCAUAAUAAUGGCGACAUAGAUAUGGGCGAUCAUAAUACAGGCGACAUAAAUAAUGGCGAUAACAAUCUGUAUAAACGACGAUCUAACAUAGGCGAAUCGUAACAAAUUCUGAAUAAUAAACUUAUUGAGGGCGCGAAUGGGUUCUCAUGACUCUCAUUGAUAGUACUUUUUCAAAUGUUCGGCAUUCCAGGGAUGUAAAAGUGCCUUUCCGCUUAGGUUUUCUAACCAGUAAGUCCCCGGCCGGGAGACUUUGACGACUUUGUAAGGACCUUCCCAUGUUGGGCCGAGUUUUCCUGCAUUUGGUUCUUUAGUUGACAGGGUUACUUUUUGCAAGACCAGGUCGCCCGGAAGGAAUGAACGGUGUCUGACUCUUUGAUUGUAGUACUUGGCGACUUGGCACUUGUAAGCCAUUUGGCGUAGCUCGGCGUUCUCUCUUUUUUCCUCAAGGAGGUCCACGUUGACUCUGAGCUCGGCCUCAUUGAUUUCUUUGUCGAAGUUCGAAACCCUGAAGCUCGGCAUACCUAUUUCCACCG